rnacentral:rRNA from 1 species
UUAACACAUGCAAGUCGAGCGGUAACAGACAUUUUGAUUUUGCUUGCAAAAUCUCGUGCUGACGAGCGGCGAACGGGUGAGUAACGCGUAGGAAUCUACCUAGUAGAAGGGGAUAGCCCGAGGAAACUCGGAUUAAUACCGUAUACGUCCUUAGGGAGAAAGAGGGCUUAGCUUUGAUGCUCUCGCUAUUAGAUGAGCCUGCGUAAGAUUAGCUUGUUGGUGAGGUAAAGGCUUACCAAGGCGACGAUCUUUAGCUGGUCUGAGAGGACGAUCAGCCACAUUGGGACUGAGACACGGCCCAGACUCCUACGGGAGGCAGCAGUGGGGAAUAUUGGACAAUGGGCGCAAGCCUGAUCCAGCCAUACCGCGUGUGUGAAGAAGGCCUUCGGGUUGUAAAGCACUUUAAGUAAGGAAGAAAAGAGUAUUGUUAAUACCAAUAUUCCGUGACAUUACUUACAGAAUA